AGUGAACGCUGGCGGUAGGCCUAACACAUGCAAGUCGAACGGCAGCACAGUAAGAGCUUGCUCUUACGGGUGGCGAGUGGCGGACGGGUGAGGAAUACAUCGGAAUCUACUUUUUCGUGGGGGAUAACGUAGGGAAACUUACGCUAAUACCGCAUACGACCUACGGGUGAAAGCAGGGGAUCUUCGGACCUUGCGCGAUUGAAUGAGCCGAUGUCGGAUUAGCUAGUUGGCGGGGUAAAGGCCCACCAAGGCGACGAUCCGUAGCUGGUCUGAGAGGAUGAUCGGCCACACUGGAACUGAGACACGGUCCAGACUCCUACGGGAGGCAGCAGUGGGGAAUAUUGGACAAUGGGCGCAAGCCUGAUCCAGCCAUACCGCGUGGGUGAAGAAGGCCUUCGGGUUGUAAAGCCCUUUUGUUGGGAAAGAAAAGCAGCAGGUUAAUACCCCGCUGUGCUGACGGUACCCAAAGAAUAAGCACCGGCUAACUUCGUG
rnacentral:rRNA from 1 species